GUUUUGUUCUCCUCAUCGUUUCCACAUCUUGCCUCUGAACAUAGAACAAUGCAAUUAUAUUAUUUAAGAUUGUAACAUUCUUUCAUGAUGAUGUUUUUAUCCAACAGAACACCAAAUGAAAUCAAGGAGAGAAUCCUCAAGGGAAGGAUGGAUUGAUUUAAAAAUCACGUAUCUGCUGUUGUCCAAUUUCGUUUCUGGUUUAAGUAGAAGAAACCUCUCGGUCACAUAGUAUCUGUUACUCCUCUUGAAACUGAAAAGUCGUAUCGGUUUACUGGUUUAAUCUGGUUUAAGUAGAACAAACCUCUCGGUCACAUAGUAUCUGUUACUCCUCUGAAACUGCAAUGUCGCAUCGGUUUACCUGUUUAAUGAUUUAAUCUAGAUGUUUGGUUCCUCACUUCCAC
rnacentral:lncRNA from 1 species